rnacentral:SRP_RNA from 2 species
GAGCUGAAGGCGGAGAUCCACCGGUUCGCCAAGGAGAAGGGCAUCGCCCUCGAGGGCGGAAAC